rnacentral:lncRNA from 1 species
UGACCGCUACAUGGAUUUUGUGGCUUUUAGCUCAUAAAUAAUAGAAUAGUUCUAUUGAAAUGAGUAGAAGAAAAUACCGUCAAAAUUACAGGGAGAAAAGUGAACAUUAUAUUGUGACUGAACAAGAAGAAAGUGGAAUUAUAUUUUUUUCUUAGAGACAAAGGGAAUAUUAAUUUUAGGGUGGGUUUUGCUCCUUGAACUAUAAAUUUA